rnacentral:misc_RNA from 1 species
GCCUCAGCUAUGUUGCAGUCUGCAUAAUAUUUGCCACUUACACCUUUAACAUCAGGAUGCAAAGCCACAUAACAAGUUGUUGCAGCUCCCUGCUCAACAUUUUUCAUCACAUGCUUGCCAAUGACAUUAACAAUGCCACUGAUGAUGCUGUUCUGACGGAAAAGGUUGGUGGCAAUGGCUCCUGGAUGAAGCGAAUUCGCU